GGUUUACCGCGGUUUCCUCGGCGUUGGAGUGCUUGUGGAGCGGCGGGGUCUGGGAGCCAAAGAGACCGAGAUCUUCCCCGGCUCAUGAGUGUGCCCUCUUUCGCGGCAACAAUGGCUGUGGUGUCUGGCUCGCGCAGCCCGGAGUGGGAUGCAUCGCAGUUCCUGGAAGAGCCCCGAGCGCGCGGAGCCGGCGCUCUCGCCUGCUCUCGGCCCGGGGACCGGAAUGGCCUCGGUCGUCAGCUGGGUGUCCUCAGCCGAGGCCCCCGAAACCAGCCCUGCGACCCCGGCUCGCGGUGUCGUUCGCGAGAGCGGCCCUCGGCUCCUCGGGGCUGACCCUCCUCCGCUUCUGCCUCCUAGUCCGCCGAGCGCGGCAGCCAGGAUCGCGGCUGCGGGAGCAACGAGCCGGGACGAUCUCCUGGACAAGGACCAGGAGGAGGUGAGUGAUACGGCCGCACCUUCACUCUGAGGAGCCCACCUGCCUUCAGAGUCCGCUUCAUCUCUCGUCCUUCAUCUGUCCUCUCUGAACAGUCUCAGGUUCCUCAUCUAUAAAAUGGGAAUGUUGAAAAUACCUUCCUCAUAGAUUUAUUUAAAUUAAAUGAAGGAGAGACUGUAAAACAACAAGGACAUGCUUAAAAAUAAGAAAACAAGAGGAAAAAAAAAAAGAAGUCUGGUCAUUCAAAAGAAAGGAGGAAGAAAAGACCAUCUAAAAGAAACACAAGAAGCAUUGUGACAAUAGUGACAGCGACUCUGAUUCUGACACAGACUCCAGUGCCUGGCAGUGUCACAUGAGGAAGACAGCAUGAAGAAAGCCAAGGUCUCAUUGCUUCUUUUCAAUGAUCCAUUCAUCUGGAAUAUUAAGCAAGGCCUCUCUCUUGCUUCCAGCAGCACUAAACAGAAAGGUUUCCUUUUAGUGUUUAACCAUGAGGAUCUGGGGUCCUCUCAAGGAUUCUGAAUGAGAAGGAAUACAUUUGAAGGCAUGAUUGUCACUCCUGAGCCGGGAUGACAAGAAUAUGGCUCCUGUGGUGGGGGCAGGGGAGGAAAGGGACAAGAGCCUUUCUGGACUUGAUGGAGUCUCCUGUGUUUCCUUUCGGCCAGAAUGGUUUGUUCCUCUUUAUCCUCCACAAAAUAGAAGAUCAGUGAACAGAAUUUGGAGCACCUAGAACAAAAGUAGGGGAAUGUUUGAAUGCUGCCUUCCCAGAAAGUCCUAUGAAGAGUAGUUUCUCAGGAAGAUUCCUUUAGAGUCCAGGCUCGUGCCUGAACUCAUCAUGAAUGGAGCUUGGCCCCAUUUUGCAGCACAGCGUUCUCUCACUCGAGACUUUCCCCACCCCAUCUUUCACCUGUAUGUGCCUGAGAAGUGUAGGGCCUAGUGAUAGUGACUCAGGGAUGUCACCUCAUGAAAAGGGACCCGCUUGACAUUCCUUACCAAUUGUUUUCUUUUUUUUUUUGACAACAGUUUUAUUUAUUUACUUUUGGCUGGGCUUGGUCUUCAUUACUUCCCAUGGACUUUCUCUAGGUGCAGCAAGCAGGGGCUACUCUCUAGUUGUGGUCUGGAGGCUUCUCAUGUGGUGGCUUCUAAUUGUGGAGCACGGGCUCUAGGGCAUGCAGGCUUCAGUAGUUGCAGCCCUCAGGCUCAGUCAUUGCAGCACAUGGGACUUGUUACUCUGCGGCACGCGGGAUCUUCUCAGAUCAGGGAUUGAAUCCAUGUUCCCUACAUUGGCAGGCCAAUUCUUAACCACUGGACCACCAGGGAAGCCCUCAGCAAUUCUUAUUCAUACAGUACUAACCCCAUUUGGCAUAUAAAACAAGUAUACAAGAGAAUUCACAUCUUUCCUGAAAAUACCCCCCAAACACCCUAUAAAAACACAGUGUUCUGUUUUCAUUUUUUCAGUUCAGCCAUCAGGCAUUCAGUGAAGUGCUCUUGCUGAGGUGCUAUGAAAAAUUUGAAUCUGGCAGAAAAACACUUUAGAAAAACUGUCAUAGAAAACAGGUCUUACAAGACAGGGGCUACAGAAUGAAUGCUGUAGACAGGGGCCCUUGCCAGGCCAAACCAGGCUAACACAAAGGAAGACACAGGUGGAGGAGGCGAGGAUGGCAUGGGGGGCCUGGGUGUUUGGGGCUGCAGUGCAGCAGAGGCACCCAACUCCAGUUGGGCCCGAAAACAGUGUGGCCCUUUGGGGUCCGUACAGGAUUAUGACCAGAGGGUGACCCAUGGCCACAGGGGACAUAUGUCUGAGAAUGACAGCCCUCUGAUAGCGCCAACACUUGGCCCUCCCACUCGUAAGCCUGGGCGGUUAAGGUCUUAAGAGAAACACACAGCAUGCACAUCUAUAUGCCACUGACAAAAUGGAAGAAACUAUUGCAUUAUUGCUAAAAUCUUGUAGAAAGGUUAAUGCUGCAUCCCUCCCUCCAGCCCAUCCUUAGGGAUGGUAGACUGUAUUGCCAAGCUCUGGCCUAGGCUUACUGCUUUGCUCCUGUCCUCUCACGUUUAGGAUUGUUGGGUUAUUUUCCACGUCCUACAUGGAAGCCCGCUGGUGAACAGUACCGUGUCCCUGCCGUCAGUGCUUUGCCGGGGAACAGGAUAAAGAAACGUUAGUGCUCUGACAGCAGUCCAGCCGUUCUGCCCCUCCUCACUAGGGACAGUGUCACCCUGGUCUUUGGGGGGAGCUGAGCAUGAUAAAGACUCAACCCCUUUCAAAGUCAUAAUGAGGGAAACAGUGCCAAUUUUAAAAGUCCAUCAUCAGUCUGAACUAAAUAAUUAAUAGGAAGGAACAUCUUGGCUUUUUAGAACGAUGACUGAGGGGUUUUUUUUUUCAUUUAUUUUUAUUAGUUGGAGGCUAAUUUACAAUAUUGUAGUGAUUUUUGUCAUACAUUGACAUGAAUCAGCCAUGGAUUUACAUGAGGGGGAUUUUUAUCUGUCUAACCUCUUGAGAGUUAGAAAGGUGGUCUGGCAAGGGGGCUCAGGGGGCUUGUGACUUGUCUUACUGGGACAUGAGAGACGCUGAAGCUCUGGACACUGUCUUAAUAUUUUAGUCUUGAAUGCUAAGGAAAGUUCACCUAACUAGGUUCAACUCCAUUCUAACUCAGUUUCCGCCCAGCCAAUAAUUUGGAGAGAAAGAGGAAAACCACCGUCAUUUCUGCAUACGCCAACCUGUCCCCACUCUCCAGCUUUUAUGGGCUCAGGACACGGUCAGCUGAUUUGGUUCUAGCCUCAGGUUCAGGAUUCUAGAUGGAUGGUGAUGUUGCCUGGAGUGGUGAAACACCAUAGUCCUACCAGCCCUUCUCCUCACCCAGGAUAUCCCAACACCAUCAAAUGUUCUAAGGCAGGAGAGUGGAGCUAGGCACUUUAGGACAAGGUCAACCAGAGCCAGAACAAGGUCCCCUGUGUUCAUUGCAGCAUGACUUGAAAUAGCCAGAUAGGGAAACAACUUCACUGUCUAUCCACGGAUGCAUGGACAAAGAACUCGUGUAUACAGCACGGCUCGGAGACACUGUGGCUUUGGUUCCAGACCAGAGCAAUGAGGGAAAUAGCACUACAAAGUCAGCCACAUGAAUUUCUUGUUUUCCCAAUACAUAUAAACGUCAUUUUACACUGUAUUUGUAGUCUAUUAAGUGUGCAAAAGCAUUAUGUCUUAGAAAAUAGCAUAAAUACCAUAAUUGAAAAAUACUGCUAAAAAACAUUAACCAUCAUCUGCACCUUCAGCAAGUUGGAAUAUUUUUGCAAUAGUAACUGAUCACAGAUCACCAUAACAAAUAUAACAAUGAUGAAAAAGCUUGAUAUAUUGCCAAAAUUGCCAAAUUGUCACAGAGGAAAGAAGUGAGCAAAUGCUUUUGGACGAAUGGCACCACUGGACUUGCUAGAUGCAAGGUGGCCACAAACCUCAAUGUGUAAACAAUAAACACAUAAUCUGCAAAGUGCAGUAAAGUCAAGCACAAUAAAUGAGACAUACCUGUAUAUACAAUGGAAUAUUAUUCACCCACAAAAAGUAACUUUGAAUAUGCUACAACAUGGAUGAACUUAGCAUUAUGCUAAGUGAAAUAAAUCAUAAAGAUAG